AAUUGAUGUGUGUGAUUUUCUAUUUUCGAAGACAAAGCAUUUAAACUUAAACGCAGAGAAAUCCGGAAAGAAACACAAAUAUUCUCUUAGGAAUUAAAUGCCUUUCUAAAACUUUCGGGACAAGUAAAGAAUAUGCACCGUUUCGCUACAAUAAAAAUAAGGCUCGGUAUAACUUUUUAUGCUGAUUAUGCGUUACUACUAAAUCGUUUAUAAAACUAAGAACUUUAAUAAAAAGAUAAACAGAUGAACCAAAUGGACAAAAUUUUCCGGUAGGGUCAACUUCAGCGCCAAUUUUAAAAUUACUAAAAUU